AUACAGUGCAUCAGAAGGGACAGUACACACCAUCUUUCAUUCCCACCAUUCUUUGUGAAGAGGAAUCCAAAUGUUCUUUGGCCUGAUCGAGUUCUUAUGGGUGCCUUGAGCCAUCCUAGGAGGCAUCCCAAGUAACAACAUUAAGAACGUAUAAAUGUUUGAACUGUGCAGACUUCUUGUUGUGAGAAAAAAAGCCUGCAGCCAAUGAGAUAGAAAUGGAGAGAAGGGCAAUAGCAGCUUGCACAUGUCAAGGAUCUGCAGCGCAUGAAACCCCUUAAACUGAAGAUGAUGGUGGGUCCCUGAUGCAAUAUACAGACUCAGUUAAAACAGAUAUGGGUGCAAGUCAUGACACUUUUACAGAUUAAAGAUGUCCGAGAUUCACGAUGAAUGCUGUUUGAAGAAGAAUGAACAGAAUCACAUUUUAAUUUAAUCUCACUGCCAAUGUGGACUUAAAGAGGACGGGCUCUGUUAUGACAACUGUAUUUUUAAGUAACAGAGAUAAGGGUGUUAUUGGAAUCAUUUCAAUAAAAUAUGGGAGAACCGGUACAUACCAGUUUGAUAUCUUGAUUAGACUGGGACUUAAACAAAAACGAUAGAUAUUGGACCUCUCUAAUACACAUUAUAAACAUCUCAUGUCUUAAGUCAAUAACAAAGCUGUAAUAAGGCGAUAUUUAGUGUAAUUAACACUUAGGGCUAUUCUCCUAAAACAUAUAACCACCGGGUUUGGCAGAUUUUUAAUAAUAUAUGGUUGGGCUUUUUUGCUAAUUUGCACCCCAAAAGGCACAUUUGCUUUUGUAUGGGGUUGGCAUUAAAACUUAAUAAAUGCCUUCCCUCCAGUGGUUAUAUUUUUAAAUGGACAAAAUAUCAAACUGGUAUGUACCUUAUCAACAUUUUUAGCUGGACUAUUUGAAUAAUAAGGAGGGUUAUACCACUCGCCUCAGCAUCUGCUUUGGCUUUAGCGUCCGGUUAAAGUUUAAGACCAAGUUGGGAUUUUCACUCAUAGGGAUUUUCACUCAUAACUGCAAAACCCUUCAUUAAAGUCACUUAAUACUCCAUACAGUUGUUCAGGGUCAUUACAUAAUGAGGUUAAUACUUCAAUAGCCUUCAUUCAAUGGACUUAAUACCUUGCACAAUUAAUGAUGAACAUCUUACAAUAAGGUGACAUAACUCCAUUUUAACUAAAUACAAAUUAUUGCCCUUUUUUCAUUUUUAUUUCUUAUGUCAGGCACAUUUAUAUAUUCUUAACAGGGUUUUUGAAAGCUAAUUGUUUGGGCGGGCUGGUGGAAGGGUCUUCAAAGUCACCUUAUGUGUAAAAUAAUUUUAGCUAGGUUUGACAUAUAGUGACCAAACUUCGUAUGUAGAAAGCCUUUAUGAAGACCU